rnacentral:rRNA from 1 species
AUUGAACGCUGGCGGCAUGCCUUACACAUGCAAGUCGAACGGCAGCACGGGGCAACCUGGUGGCGAGUGGCGAACGGGUGAGUAAUGCAUCGGAACGUACCUUUCAGUGGGGGAUAACGUAGCGAAAGUUACGCUAAUACCGCAUAUUCCGUGAGCAGGAAAGCAGGGGAUCGCAAGACCUUGCGCUGAUUGAGCGGCCGAUGUCAGAUUAGCUAGGUGGUGAGGUAAAGGCUCACCACGGCGACGAUCUGUAGCGGGUCUGAGAGGAUGAUCCUCACCACUGGGACUGAGACACGGUCCAGGCUGCUACGGGAGGCAGCAGUGGGGGAUUUUGGACAAUGGGGGCAACCCUGAUCCAGCCAUGCCGCGUGAGUGAAGAAGGCCUUCGGGUUGUAAAGCUCUUUCGGCCGGGAAGAAAUCGCACGGGCUAAUACCCUGUGUGGAUGACAGUACCGGAAUAAGAAGCACCGGCUAACUACGUGCCAGCCGCCGCGGUAAUAC